GUAAAACUCUUGGUUUUGAUGAAAUCAGGGGAAAAAAAUUUAGAACAACUAGUUUUUUUGGGAGCCAAAGGGACGGAAAAUUAGGAAAAAAAAAAAUUUUUUUUUUAGUAAACUAAUUUUUUUUUUACGUAUUUCAAGCAACCAAACACCUCCUAAAGAAAAGAAAAGAAAAGAAUCUCUAUGUAACAGUUGCAGCCCAUAAGGAUAUAUUCCAAAUUAAUUAUAUGUUGUCGUGUGAGACGGUAAAAAAAAAAAAAGAAGCUAGUAAGCGACAAUAUAGAGGGAACGUUUAGUUCGAAGUUGGAAUCGGAAUCAGAAUCGGAAUCGAAAUAAGCUGAAAUGGGAAUCGGAAUGUCACGCCCCGAAUUAACACGUUUUCCGGGCACGCCGACAAAUCCGCCGUAUAUAAAGAAUUUUUCCUGUAUACGAAACGUAGCUGGAACUGUAAUACAUACAAUACUGCAACCAGUAGUAUAAAGCUGUAAAGAAACUAAACAGAUAGAAUAAAAUAAGUCUCAUAUACAUACAAGAAAACUCUAUAUAAAAGUACUCGCUCCAGGGAGUUAUACAUCAGUACGUACAUGAACUCAAAAAUAAUAAAAGUACAACUACCUGCAACAAGUGCUCCUCUAUCACAGCGACUCGUCUGGUAGGGCUCUAACUCGCGAUGCCCUUGUCACGAUCAGAAUCGGCAACAGCAGCAGCAGCCGAAGACGAUGGCUCUGCAAAACAGUGAUAACAACUGGGCGUGAGAACUACUGUAAAAACAAAUAGUUCUCAGUGGGUAUCACCCUCAACAUCAUCGGUCCACUUACUAAGUCUACAAAAAAAAACAAAGCUAGUAGGAAAAAGCUGGAAAGCAAUCUACAGCUACAUAUUGCUACAGUAGCAUGCUCUACACUAACCAAGUAAAAGUCACUCACUAUCUCACCCGGGUUGCCCAAACGGGCUGACCCUGCCUGUAUCUCACUACGCCGUACACCACCCCGGGGGUGGCCGACUCAAGAAUUAUCCAACAGAAGCUGCGACACUCAUCGCACUGAAACCUCAUUUCGGAAUGGCAUUCGCGGGUGCGAUCCACGAGUUACAAAUGUCUCUGUCAUUUCAUUCUGGCUCUCACAGGCUCAGGUCAAGUAAAUAAGAUCUAGCUGGACUAUCAACCACUAGUCACGUGCCCUCGCACAAUCUGAUAUCAAAACAAUUAAAUCCGGGUCCGCCGUCAACCACUACGACACCCACUAGUCCGGAACAGUGUAAACACUACUGUAAAAAUAGGCUCAGCAUCUUAGCACGAGCGUAACAGUAAACUGAACUACCUGGGGUACUCACCACAAGGAUACUGCGACAGUAUAAAAAUACAACGGCCCCUAAGGCUAAAUCAGAUAGUUUAACAUAUGACAGGUCCCGAACGCUAGUUUUUUCCUAUGUCAAAUUCAAGUCCAACAUGUAUAAUUAAUAAUAACUAAUAACAUGCUCCAAAUUCAGUUUAUAUGUCUAAAACAUGCAUACCCAUGGAUUUGAGCUAAACAAUAGUAACGUGCAACACCAACGAUACAUGUCGACUAAUAAAGCUAUAGGAGAAGGAAUCCGAUGAUAAACCCACCUCAAACGCAAAUCACAAUCCGGCGCGACAUCGAAAACGGCGGAAUCGAACCCUCGCCCGGCCUCCUCACGAUGCUACGACGAACACACGCUCGAACGGCACUGCGGCGCGACGUCGACGACACUCCACACCACCCGAGCUCCUCCUCUACGUAUAGCUCAAGAACUAGAGAGAGAGAGAGAGAGAGAGAGUAAAUAAAAAAAAUGUACACCUCAGUUAAACUAA
rnacentral:lncRNA from 1 species